AAGUCGUAACAAGGUCUCCGUAGGUGAACCUGCGGAGGGAUCAUUAACAAAUUUCAUUUUACAAAGCGAGCAAAUUCAACUAACAUUGAAUCCAAUCGCUUUGCAAAAUUCAAACACAGCGCGAACGAAAUGACUGACCACAUAGCUAAGCUAAGCUGAUCAAUUUAAUUUAUUUUAUUUUUUUCUCUUAGCUUAGUUGUGCGGCUUUUUUUCUACACUAACAAAUUUCACCUAAUUUUUGUUUUCUUUCAAUUUCGAAAUGAAAAACUUAAAGCAAAUUUAACCGAUCAAAUGCGAGUUUGAGCGAUUAAUUUAUUUCAGUUUUUGAUUCGAUUCAAAUUAAUUUUUAUAAUUUAAUCGUAUAAAAAAAAUAAAUUAAAGCACAACUCUUAGCAACGGAUAUCUUGGUUCUC
rnacentral:misc_RNA from 1 species